UAAAGGGCUACUUUGCUUUUAAAUAACCCUGAUGACAUCAUCAGGGUUACUUUCUCAAACUUUAUAAAGCUCCCCCAGAGCUACAGAAGACAUUAUACAACUGUUUGAACAGGCCGAGUAGUACUCCUUAUGAGGAGUAAACUAAACUUCAUGUAGGGUUGGGCCGGAUCGG